rnacentral:misc_RNA from 1 species
AUUUGUCUCCAUAUCAUAGACCUGGAAUUAAGAAAAAAAAUUAGCCACUUGUGGAGAAAGGGAGAGAAUGGAGGUGGGAGUAUGCUGUCUAGUUACAAGUAUACAAAAAAGAAGUAGAAUACUUUAGUUAUUAAAUUAUUGUAACCUCAAAUUCGUUCAGUGAAUACGAAGAAUUGAAAAAAGAAUAUUCUUCGUCUACCAAAUGGAUUAGCGCAAAAUACUUAGCCAAUGUCCACAAGACAUCCUAAUAGUUCUCUGUUCCAUGUGAUUAACUAAUGGCACUAACCCCUAAUGCCAAAGAAAGAUACACAACCAAUCAUUUAGAAAUAAACCAAUCAUGAUAAAACAAGCAAUGUACUUAAGAUGCACAACAUGUUUCUUCUUGAGUGUUGACCAUAGACAUCCUCAUCCUCAGGUACACUUAAUCUCCAGCACGGUAACACUUUGAUUCUUAGCUGCAUUUCUAAGGUCAAAUGGUGCUCCAAAUUGAUAGUUCGAGUUUAAAAAGAAAACCCAGAUAAAAAUUUCAUCAUUUUUACUUAUUGCUUAAAGAACAAAAAUUUCAGCCAAGGCGGCCAAUACUGCAAAGUGAUUAAUCUCGUUUACAGUGACCGAUACAAAACCUCCAAAACUCAGAAACGUAAUCCAUAAACACAUUAAAACAUAAAAAUAACUAAUAAUUAUAUAUAAAGGGAAACACCUACAUAGAUUAAAA